UACGUAGGGUGCAAGCGUUAAUCGGAAUUACUGGGCGUAAAGCGUGCGCAGGCGGUUGUGCAAGUCUGAUGUGAAAUCCCCGGGCUUAACCUGGGAACUGCAUUGGAGACUGCACGGCUAGAGUGCGUCAGAGGGGGGUGGAAUUCCGCGUGUAGCAGUGAAAUGCGUAGAGAUGCGGAGGAACACCGAUGGCGAAGGCAGCCCCCUGGGAUGACACUGACGCUCAUGCACGAAAGCGUGGGGAGCAAACAGG
rnacentral:rRNA from 1 species